rnacentral:rRNA from 1 species
UACGUAGGGACCAAGCGUUGUUCGGAUUUACUGGGCGUAAAGGGCGCGUAGGCGGCGUGGUAAGUCACUUGUGAAAUCUCCGAGCUUAACUCGGAACUGCCAAGUGAUACUGCUGUGCUAGAGUGCAGAAAGGGCAAUCGGAAUUCUUGGUGUAGCGGUGAAAUGCGUAGAUAUCAAGAGGAACACCUGAGGCGAAGGCGGGUUGCUAGGCUGACACUGACGCUGAUGCGCGAAAGCCAGGGGAGCAAACGGG